UAAAAUAGACUAGUGGCGGAAGAAUAUUUUGGUUAAUGUAUAUAGCCAUGCGAAAAUGGCUUAUAUAUGUUUGAGUGUAAUGUUAUAAUCAUUUGGUAUGGAAUGGUUAAUCACUAUCAUAAUUUGUGCUAUUUAUGCUAAAAGGGCUAGUUGAAUCAUGGAAACUAUGAAAUAGGUAAAGUCUACCUUAAAGGCAGAUGCUGGCAGCAGCAGUGAUGUAGAUUUGGAAAAUCACUAAAAAUAGUAGGAUUGGAAUUAAAUAAUGAAUAAACUAUGUAAACUAACCUUGAUGAAUCUAUUUUCAUAGAAAAGUAACGAAACGAUCAUAUGGACAGUAUGUUAAGAGAUAUUCAGGUUCUCGUGAGACAGGGCCAGAACGGUUUCUGGAUUCCCUGUUCCGACUUUGGAAAUUCAUUAUAAGUUAACCAGAGAUAAUUAUGAGUCAUGCGAUAUAUGUAUAGAUUCCUCUCUGAGUCUAGUUUCUAUAGAAACAAACGGCAUCAGUAUUGAAGCUCUGUACAGGGAGAUAUCCAAGUCGUAAUGCGCAAAGGUCAGUGUAGUCGAUCCCUGUAACAUGGGAGACUUUGACUAAUAAACUGUACUAAUUUUCCCGACCAAAAAUUCUAGAAAAAAAUAUGUAGAUGGGAAUAUGAGUCUAGUUUCAGGGAAAAAUUACAAAACUGAUUUUCGAGAUGUGAAACUCAAGAUAUGAUUUUUAAGGUGACAGUGACGCAGUUAGCCAACUGCCUGGAAAAUUUUAAAAUGGACUGCGAUAGUAACCAAAAUUAGUCUGUGAACCCCUCGUGUCCGACUCCGGCAACGGUCUCGGGUACGGGGUGUUACAAUUUUAUUGGUAUCAGAGCGACGGUUUAGUCGAUUCUAGGACUAACGUAGCACGCGUGAGUCUAUUUAUACAUGCCAUAAAGUGAUAAAAUGAUAGUGUGAUGAUUUUUGGCUAUUAAAAUGUGUUUGCUGUAUUGCAAUGAAUCUUGAUCCCGAUCGAGCUGUAGCAAGCUUCUGACAAUGAGAAUUUGCGAUAUAACUUCACUUAGAUAUGCCUAAAUUAUUAAGUUGAUCAGGUACGUAUCAUGUACUCGUAUUUGAAUUUCGAUUUGGAUUGGAUUAUAAGGGUAUAAGUGAUGCAAUUUUGAAAGAGUGUUAUGACUAUAAAUGUGAUUUUUGUAUGUGGCUAUGGAACUGGAAGUUGAAUGGUCGAUAAGCAUGUUGUGUUUGCAUUCAAGUAAUGUAAAUGAUAUACUAAUGUGUAUUGCUAUAUGUGUAUAUGUACAUGAGAAUUGAGAGUGAUAUAUCCGGGCUAAGUCCCGAAGAGCAUUCGUGCUAGUGAUAUAUCCGGGCUAAGCCCCGAGGAGCAUUCGUGCUAGUGAUAUAUCCGGGCUAAGCCCCAAAGAGCAUUCGUGCUAGUGAUAUAACCGGGCUAAGUCCCGAAGAGCAUUCAUGCUAGUGAUGUAUCUGGGCUAAGUUCCGAAGAGCAUUCGUGCUAGUGAGGUAUCCGGACUAAGUUCCGAAGAGCAUUCGUGCUGGUGUUAUAUCCGGGCUAGGUCCCAAAGAGCAAUCAUGCUGGUGACGUGUAUUCGGGCCUUCGUGCCUAGUAGGCUUCGUGCCGGUAAUUUGAGCAAAGUUUAAGUGCUCAUUACUAUACAAAUUCAAAUUUAAAUGAGAUGAUAUGUUUAAAAGUGUACAUACAUGAUGUUUAUAGACUUGGUUAAGUCAUAUCAAUGUGUAUUAAUGAAUGAAUAAGAGCGCUAUGUAUGUGAAUAAUUAGAGGCACUGUGUGUGUGCAAAUUUCUUUAACCGAGCACUAUGAGUGCGAGAUCGGUCAGUGGGCACUAAGUGUGUGAAGUGGAAUUCAUGUAAGACCUCGUUUGGGACGAAGGCAUUGAUUUGAGAUAGUGUGUAAGACCAUGUCUGGGACAUGGCAUCGGCUCGAUAUGUGAGAAUAUGUAAGACCAUAUCUAGGAUAUGGCAUUGUAAGAGCUAUAUGUGCUAUUGCUGAAUGGACACUAUUUUGUUAAUCUUGUUCAAGAAAUUAUUUUGGUUAAGUUUCGACAUUCGAAAGUUUGAAAGAAUUUUUGAUGAAUGUUGAUAAUUUUGGAUAUACGAGUUAUGUGCUAGAAUAAAUCUCAUGCCAGUGUAUUAUAUUAGGCUUUAUGCCUAUUCGACUGUAUACGGGUAACGUUAACUAUGAUUGAAUGUGCUAAAUGAACUAAAUGUUCAGGUACGUGGAAGUUGACUUUUCUUUUGGAAAUGAGUUUAGUUGAAUAUUGAGACGUGAUAAAGUUAUAAAGGAUAUUUACUGGGAUGUUUGAGUAUAUGUGUACUUUCGGCUAGGUUACAGCUUAUUCAUGAAUGAAUAUGUGGGUUGACGAUGUGAAUUAUACAUGUUAAUAUGUGCCUAAUAUGUGUUUGAAAUGCAUUUGUGAAUUAAAUUAAGUGAUUAUUGCUUAUGAAAUCAAGAAAAUGAGAUAUAUGUGCAUACUUGUAGAAAUGUUUAUGUAUUUGUUUUAAGAUAAGAAAAUGAUUCUAUAGAUCGAUGCGAAAUCAGUAACGAAUUACAAUUGCUAUCGAUGAGCUAAUGUUUUAUGGAUAUAAUUCAAUAAGAGGACGUUAUCCUAAACUAUGCAUCAGUAGAAAUUUUCGAGGACGAAAAUCCCUAAAGGGGAAGAGAGUUGUGACACCCCUAAUUUGACCCUAGUCGAAAGUGGUUUUGGAACCCCAAAACUGAGUCACAAAAAUAAUCAGAUGUUAUAUUCUGUGCUUAUUGAAUGUGGAAUUUGUAUGUGCGAAUAUUUCGUGCCUUGAUUUUAUCAAGGCGGUGUUAAUUUAUAAGAAAGGACCCAUGUGAUAAGACUUGAAAAUGUGAUAGGUGAAAUUUAAAGUGGCCAAAUAAUGCAUGAGUUAUUGACAUGAGGGACUUGCAUGUCAAAUGGACCACUUUUAAUUAGUGGCCGGCCAUAAUGAUAGUUGAUAGAUAUUAUAUGCAUUUUAUUUUAGCAUGAUAAUAGUUAAUGGCUUUAUAUUAUGGAAGAAAGAAUAAUUAAAAGAAGGAAAGAGUGAUAGAAACAAGGUAUGUCCAUCUUUCUUUUCCCCAUUACCGUAACUAGUGAAAGAAAAAAAAAGGAGAAGAAGAAGCCAAGGCAUUCGGCCAUGGUUAGUUCAUAAAUCAAAGGUAUGUUAAUGUGAUUUUUAUGUAAUUGUUCAUGAAUUUAAACCAUAGUGCAUGUGUGAAAAUUUGAUGUUUUAAUUUAGACUUAUGAAGGUGAAUUUCAUGUGAUUAACUUAGUUGAGAACCUAAGAAAAUAUGAUAGGGGAAUAUGUAAGGAUCAAAUGAUAACAAAGUGAGGAAACUUGGGUUUGCAUGUCAAAUCACCCAAACCUCAAGUAGUGGCCGGCCAAGCAAGGAUGGUUCUUCGAUUAAGUUGAAUUUUUAAUGAUGCUUUUAUUAGUAAAUGAUUAAAAUAGAUCAAAAAAAAAAAAGAAAGGGGAAUAAAAUAAGAAAGCAAGAGAAAGUCUUCAUCUUCUUUCUUUUCUUGAAGUGCUGUGAGCUAGGGAAGGAGGGGAGACUUCAUUGUUUUUGGGUUCUAGCCGAAACUAAAGAAAGAAAAAGGGGAAAGUGUUUUGGGAAUGUUCGGUCUUUUGGAGGCCAAUUUCUAAGGUAAUUUCAUUGUAAUUUUGUUAAAUUUUGAUGAAUACGAGCUUCACUUCUUUAUCUAGCCGAAACCCAUUUGCUAAUUUUGGUCUAAGUGGCGUAUUAAGUUCGGUUCAUGUGUUUUUGAGCUAGGGAUUUGUUUUUAAAGUUAAAAGUUGCUGGAUAAGUGUUGGAUGGACUUGAUAAUGUUAAAAUUAUUGAGUGUGUAAAGUUAUAAGUUUAGUUUAUGAUUGGGAGCUUAAAUUUAGCUCAAAUUUAACUCAAUUUCUUAUAUUAAGCAUUUCGGCUAUGGUGUGGAUUGCAUAAAAUUUGAAGUAUUUGAUGUUUGAGAGUUCUAAAUAGUUAAUUAUUAAGUGAGGCUUAGUAAUUUUGUGUUAAAGAUGAAUUUCAUUACUAAAAGUGGUAUUCGGCUAUGUGGCAUUGUGUUAAAUUUUGGAUGUUGUUUUUUUAAUUUUAAAUUGACUAUUAAGUAAGCUUUAAGGUUGUUAAAUGGUAAAAAGAGACUUGAGAGUGAUGUUUAGGUAGCUUUCGGCCUUAUAGUGAAUUAUGAUUGUUAAAGGAUGGACUUAAGUUGUGUAUAUGGGAUUUAACCUUGCCGAUUAUGUGUUAACAAGGUGAAAAUGGUUAUGUUGCGUUAAUAGAGUGCCGAAUGUGAAUUUGGUGUUAAGCUAUAUUUGAAUACUUGGUUGAAUGAUUUUUGAUAUACCCGAAAUAAGGUGCAUGAAUUAUGGAUUAGUAAUGAUUUGAAUUUGUUUAAAUCUAGCUCAAGAACAAAGGACACCAACUUCGGAUAGGGGAAAAGAGAAAGUAGUUGAAUAGCCGAUUUGUACUAAGUCGAUCAAAUUCAAGGUAAGUUUUUAAGUAUUUGAGUUUGAUUCCUUUGUAAGUUUUAAGUGUUUAAACGUUGAGUAAAUUCAAUUAUAAUAGGACAUGAUGAGUAUUUGAUAAGAUAUGAUGUGGCCAUGAUAUGUUCUAAGCUCAAGUGGUAAGUUCUUAAGUGUUUGAGCUUGGGAAUUUAAGGGUAAUUUGAAAUAGUCUGCUUUGGACAGCAGCAGUAACGUGACUUUAGAAAAUCACCAUAAAUUUAUGGACUUGAAUUAGAGGCUGAAUGAGACAUUAAAUUAAAUCUUAAUGAGUCUAGUUUCUUAUAAAAGAAACCGUGUAAGCAAAGGAAUUUCCGAUAAUGAGAUAUUUAAAGUUGUGUGAGACGGUAUCAGAAUGACUCCGAAAUCCCCUGUUCUGUUUUUAGAAAAUCAUUAUAAAUUGUACAAAAAUGGUUAUAAGAUAAAAUUUAUAUGCUUAGACUCCUUAAUGAGUCUAGUUUCAAAUGAAAUCAAAUACAACACAUUUUGAAUUCUGUAAAACGAGAAAUCUGAUUUGUAGUGAAGAGUGGUCAGAUUAAUCAAACAGUGAAACAGGGGAAACUUUAAGAAAAAUCUGGUAUUGAUUGGCCAAACCUAAAAUUCUGGAAAUUUUAUGGGUGGAAGAUAUACGAGUCUAUAUUUAGGAAAAAUUAACGGAAAGUGAUUUGGAGUUUUGUAGCUCCAGUUAUAAAUAAUUUAGUGACUAUUGCUCAGGAAAAACAGCUUGUGCUGAAUUUGAGAUUAUGUUGUGAACCUUGAUAAACUUGUUUUAGUUGCUCACAAGCUAUUGAUUAAACCCAUACUUGAAUUCUAAAUCGUGAUAUUGUAAGUUCUUGAGUAAUAGAGCUUAAAUUAUGAUUUGAUUAGAUCAUGUUUUAAGCAAAUCAAAAUCAUGCUCUUUGUGUGUGGCUAUUGAGCCGAAAUUUCAAGAAUGAUAAGUGUCUUGUGUUUGAGUUUUGCUAACGAAAAUGAAAUACGAAUGUGCCAUGAUUUAUUGUUAAAUGUGCAUGGUUAUUUGAAUGAUGUCUGGGCUAAGUCCCGAAGGCUUUGUGCUAAGUGACCAUAUCCAGACUAAGAUCCGAAGGCAUUUGUGCGAGUUACUAUAACCGGGCUAUGUCCCGAAGGCAUUUGAACGAGUAGCUAUAUCCGGUUAAAUUCCGAAGGUAUGUGAUUUGGGAUGGAAUGAUCUUGCUGUAAAAAUUUCAGUUAAUACGCUUGAAACAUCCCAACAUUGAGGUAUAUUUCGUAUGUGCUUUGAAUUAGUUGAGCCCUUACAAAUAAGUAUUCGCUCAGUUGAUAAAUGAGCUACCGGCAUUUGGCUAAGUUGAUCUUUGUGUAUGAAUAAAUGGGUUGGUAAUGUGAAAGUGUAUAUAUGUGAUAAGGCCUAAUGGCCGAUGUGAUGAAUGUGAAAGUGUAUAUAUGUGAUAAGGCCGAAUGGCCAAUGUGAUGAAUGUGAAAGUGUAUAUAUGUGAUAAGGCCGAAUGGCCGAUGUGAUGAAUGUGAUAGUGUAUAUAUGUGAUAAGGCCUAAUGGCCGAUGUGAUGAAUGCGAUAGUGUAUAUAUGUGAUAAGGCCUAAUGGUCGAUGUGAUGAAUGUGAUAGUGUAUAUAUGUGAUAAGGCCUAAUGGCCGAUGUGAUGAAUGUGAAAGUGUAUAUAUGUGAUAAGGCCUAAUGGCCGAUGUGAUGAAUGUGAAAGUGUAUAUAUGUGACAGGGCCGACUGGCCAACGUGAUGGAUGUGAAAGUGUAUAAAUGUGAUAAGUCCCGAAGGGCAUUUGUGUCAGUACUAUAUCCGGGUUAAAACCCCACAGGCUUUAUGCGAGAAUAUUAUCACUGAUUAAUGUCCGUAAGCUUCGUGCUCGUACUAUAUCCGAGCUCUAAAGACCCGAUGACUACGUGUGGAGAUUAUGUCCGGGUAAGACUUCGUAAUAAGAAUUGCUUAUAAAUAUAUUCAAUGCGAAAGGUUAAACAGGUAUGUACUCCAAGUUAAUAUGUGAGCUUGAUUUGCACUAAAUCAUAAGGUAGUUAUGUGAUGCAUAUGAGAGCAAUCUAUGAGACUAUUCCUAUGAUUAUGUGACAUCGGAUCAGUGUGAGAGGUGAUGUGAAAUCAUACGAUAUAUCUAUGUCACAUGAGCUCACUUUUAUGUGAAAGUUUAUCUGCCUAUUGUAUAUGAUGAGACGUGCAUAUUCGGUAAAAGGGAUGGUAUGCCCGAAGGAAGAGUGAAAUAAAAAUACGAACAACUAUGUUAUAAUUUGAUUGUUAUCUGUUGACACUGGUUAAAACAUACUAAGCAUUGUAAUGCUUACUCCGUUUACUCUGUUUCCUCUGUUUUAUAGAUCUCAUUGCGAAGCUACAGGCUCGGGGAUCGUCAGCAACUAGUCACACUAUCACUAUCCACUGUUUGGUACUGCUAUGUUUUGGAUUAUCUUAUGGCAUGUAUAAAAUAGACUAGUGGCGGAAGAAUAUUUUGGUUAAUGUAUAUAGCCAUGCGAAAAUGGCUUAUAUAUGUUUGAGCGUAAUGUUAUAAUCAUUUGGUAUGGAAUGGUUAAUCACUAUCAUAAUUUGUGCUAUUUAUGCUAAAAGGGCUAGUUGAAUCAUGGAAACUAUGAAAUAGGUAAAGUCUACCUUAAAGGCAGAUGCUGGCAGCAGCA
rnacentral:lncRNA from 1 species